GGAAGAGUGGCAGAGUGGUUGAUUGCACCUGUCUUGAAAACAGCCGAGUCGAAAGGCUCCGUGGGUUCGAAUCCCACCUCUUCCGCCA
rnacentral:tRNA from 1 species